rnacentral:rRNA from 1 species
UACGUAGGGUGCGAGCGUUAAUCGGAAUUACUGGGCGUAAAGCGUGCGCAGGCGGUUCGUUGUGUCGGCGGUGAAAGCCCCGGGCUUAACCUGGGAAUGGCCGUUGAAACUGGCGAACUGGAGUGUGGCAGAGGGGGGUGGAAUUCCGCGUGUAGCAGUGAAAUGCGUAGAGAUGCGGAGGAACACCGAUGGCGAAGGCAGCCCCCCUGGGCUAACACUGACGCUCAGGCACGGAAAGCGUGGGGAGCAAACAGG